ACAACUAUGAUGAAGUGAAUAUCCCACCACUAACUAUCAACUUAUAUUACUGUCUGUUUUUAUAUGCAUUCUUUUCAUCUCUUCUUGAAUUGAAGUAGAUUUAUUGAAAACAAUAUUUUUAGCUAUCAACGUGGAGAUGGAGGCUACAAUCGUUGCAGCGGUGAGUCCGGCGGCGACAAAAGCGGUAAGCUUUCUGGUGGACAGUCUAUCGCAGCUACUAUCGGAAAAUGUGGAACUGAUUAGAGGUGCAGAUAGAGAUUUCCAGCGAUUACUCGAUGAAAUUAAACCCAUAAAUGAGUUACUAGCUGGAGAUUAUGCACAAUUGAAAAGCAACAACAACGAUUUGGAUAAAUUGUUCCAGAAUAUUCAACGAACAGUAUAUAAAGCUGAAGAUGCGAUCGAUAAAUUCCUAAUUCAGGCGAAAAUUGACGAAGCUAACGUGUUCAAUAAGUUCGGUUGUUCGUCAAGUGGAAUAACAAUCGGAAAAUUACACCGGAAUUCAGAAAAUUUGACAAUUGGAAUGAAAAGGGUCCUGCUGAGGAGGAUAUCGAAGUGGUUGGUUUUAAUAAGCCUGCAGAAGAUGUGAAAGAACGACUCUGUGAAGGAUCAAAGGAUCUUGAUGUUAUACUAAAGACCACUCUGUCAAGAAAAGUUUACAAUGAUUCUUCCCUUGAUUUUUAUGUUUACUACAAAAUAUGGAUUUAUGUUGGAACAUCAAAGAAACCGAAGGAUAUUCUUGUUGAGAUUGUAAAAGAAGUCGCGCAAAGCAAUAGUAAGGAACUAAUUAAAGACAAGGAUGAGGACCAAUUAGCUCAUAUCAUACGUGAUUUUCUUAUUGAAAGAGGUAAACAUCUCAUUGUCUUGGAUGAUGUGUGGGACACACAAGUUGUAGAUUUCGUCAAGAAAGUUUUCCCAAACAACAAAUCCCGGCCCCGAGGGGAUAGAAUUAUGUUGACAACUCGCCAACGACGUGUAGCUGAAGCUGUAAGCGCUCGUCCUCACUAUCUGAAAAACUUGUUAAAAGAGGAUAGUAUAAAGUUGUUGGAACAGAGAGUUUUUGCCAAUAAAAGGACAUGUCCUAUUGAGUUAGAAGGAUAUCGAGAUGGAAUUGUAGAUAAAUGUUGUGGUGUACCACUUGCCAUAGUGGUGAUUUCAGGAGCUUUGAGAGGUUGUAUGGACGAAAGUGAAUGGAGAUUAGUCGAGGAAAAUGUGGGGAAGCACCUUAUAAACAAGGACGACCAUAAAAGCUGCUUGAAAUUUGUUGAAACGAGUUACAAUCAUUUGGCGCAAGAGAAAAAAGCAGCCUUCUUGUAUUUUGGAGUAUUUCCUCAAGGUUUUGAUAUUCCUGCUUGGAACCUUAUUCGCUUAUGGGUUGCUGAGGGGCUAAUAAAGUCCGGUCAUAAAGACAGUGAAAUCGAGAAGGUUGCAGAGACUUACUUGAGCGACUUUGCUAGCAGGAAUUUAGUGAUGGUGAUGCAAAAGAGAUCUAACGGUCAAAUCAGAACAUGUCGUCUCCAUGACAUGUUGCAUGAGUUCUGCAUUAUUGAGGCUGCAAGGAUAAGUCUCUUUCAACAAGUAUAUCUCCAACCUGGUGUUCGAGUUUUUCUUCUAUAGAAGAUCCAAAUACUUCUCGUCGAUUAUGUAUUCAAUCCUCUAUUCCAUAUAAUUUUAUACCUAAAGAUAGAAAUGUACAGCAUGUUAGGUCUCUCUUAUGUUUUUCCUCGGACCAAAAGCAAAUUGACUUGUCUAAUCUAGAUGUCCAACUCAUCCCCAAUGCCUUUCCACUCAUCAGGGUGUUGGACAUUCAAUCCCUCAUAUUUGAAUUCUCCAGGAUGUUUUAUGGUCUAUUUCACUUGAGGUAUAUUGCCAUCAAAGGCGACUUCAGUAUCAUUCCUUCACUCUUUCGUAAUUUUUGGUAUUUACAAACCCUUAUACUUCGUAAUGAUGAUACAAAUACUUCAAGCUCCACCCUUGAGAUAAAGGAGGACAUAUGGAAACUGUUACAAUUGAGACAUUUGCACUCCGACCUUCCCGUGAAAUUGCCUCCCCCUCCUACCACAACAAGCAACAGUCGUACUUCUUGUCUACAAACUCUUUCUAAGGUUACACCAGAUAGUUGCAAAAAAACUGUGUUUGCAAAGGCUUGUCAUCUCAGAAAAUUGGGUAUUGAAGGGAAAUUGGCACUUCUUCUUGGAAAAUCUUCCAAGGAACGUGGAUUCGACAGUUUCCAAGAGCUAAGGUGCAUCGAAAAACUGAAAUUGUUGAACAAUGAUUUUAGUGAAGAGCUUCACCUUCCUCCACACUUUUUCAGCUUACCAAAAACACUGAACAAGUUAACUUUGUCAAGUACAAGGUUUGAGUGGAGUGAGGCAGAUAUGUUGGGGCAGUUGGAAUGCCUUAAGGUACUAAAAUUGAAAGAUAAUGCAUUCACAGGGAAGAAGUGGAAGCCCAAGAAAGGAAGUUUUAGCAAGCUCCAAGUCCUGCACAUUGUCUGGGCAGGAGAGUGGGAAACUUGGGAUGCAUCAAAUCGUCCGUUCCAAAGUCUUACACACCUUGUUCUUAUUUCCUGUUAUGAUCUCAAGGCUGUGCCACACGAGCUGGCUGAUUUACCUUAUCUGCAAGAGAUGAAGCUGACGCGCACAUUCCAGGCAGUCAGUUCUGCCGUAGAAAUCAAAAACAAGAUACUACAAAGGCAAGAUCCCGAAAGCAGCAUCAAAUUCAAUCUCAUUACAUUUCCCCCUACCUCGUCCACAAAUUAAGGUUAGUCGAAUUCGUUCAUUUUGUCUUGAAAAAAUGAUUUUAUAUCUUCAUCAUACAUUUGUGUUUGUUCAUAAGUUACUUUCUGGUCGUUCUGCAAUCACGAUUUCACAUUGCUUACCAUAGAAACCUCUCUCCAACACUUCAUCUAUCAUAUUUUCCUUGUAGGAUAGAAUUAAGUAGAAUACUCGUGGAUCAUCUUUCUGCAGUCCAUUCCAACGAAACAAACCUGUUGUCUUCUUAUCUAUUCAAGUAUUGUGAUUCUUCAAAAUAAGUUUCUGUGUGGUUUAAUUAAGAGA